rnacentral:tRNA from 1 species
CGGGCUGUGGCGCAGCUUGGUUAGCGCGCUUCACUGGGGGUGAAGAGGCCGGGAGUUCGAAUCUCCCCAGCCCGA